AAAUAAGAAGCAAAAAUUGCAACUAGUUUCGACCUAGUCUUAGAUAUUAUACAUCCUUAUUUU
rnacentral:tRNA from 1 species